UUCCUUCCAGUCAACAAGGAUGUACCUCUUUCAUCGGAAGGAACCCCUUCCGAUCGGGGAGGUACAUCUCUCUUUGAUCAGAAGGUGUUCCUUCCAAUCAACGAGGUACAUCCUUGUUGACCGGAAGGAA
rnacentral:miRNA from 1 species